CUGGUUAGAAGGAAUAGGCGCUCUCCAAGUGCAAGCCAAGAAGUACCAAAGAGCUGCCGAUGCAAUGAGAAUAUUCACGCUCGCAUUACUUUUUUUAGGCAGCACCACAGC
rnacentral:lncRNA from 1 species